rnacentral:rRNA from 1 species
UGGAAUGCAUAGGAAUCUACCUAGUAGUAUGGGAUAGCCCUAGAAAUGGUGGGUAAUACUGUAUAAUCCCUGCGGGGGAAAGAUUUAUCGCUAUUAGAUGAGCCUAUGUUAGAUUAGCUAGUUGGUAGGGUAAAGGCCUACCAAGGCGAUGAUCUAUAGCUGGUCUGAGAGGAUGAUCAGCCACACUGGAACUGAGAUACGGUCCAGACUCCUACGGGAGGCAGCAGUGGGGAAUAUUGGACAAUGGGCGCAAGCCUGAUCCAGCUAUGCCGCGUGAGUGAGGAAGGCCUUAGGGUUGUAAAACUCUUUCAGUAGGGAAGAUAAUGACGGUACCUACAGAAGAAGUCCCGGCAAACUCCGUGCCAGCAGCCGCGGUAAUACGGAGGGGGCAAGCGUUGUUCGGAAUUAUUGGGCGUAAAGGGCAUGUAGGCGGUUCGGUAAGUUAAAGGUGAAAUGCCAGGGCUUAACCCUGGAGCUGCUUUUAAACCUGCC